UUUAACCUACGGGGCGCAGCAGUAGGGAAUCUUCCACAAUGGGCGAACGCCUGAUGGAGCAACGCCGCGUGGGUGAAGAAGGUCUUCGGAUCGUAAAACCCUGCUGUUAGAGAAGAAAGUGCGUGAGAGUAACUGUUCACGUUUCGACGGUAUCUAACCAGAAAGCCACGGCUAACUACGUGCCAGCAGCCGCGGUAAUACGUAGGUGGCAAGCGUUAUCCGGAUUUAUUGGGCGUAAAGGGAACGCAGGCGGUCUUUUAAGUCUGAUGCGAAAGCCUU
rnacentral:rRNA from 1 species